CCCGGGACUGACGGGGAGGUAGCGCCAGGAGCCACAGCCGCUUUUUUGCUCCUGUAGCCUCCCCGGGCUUCCCGCACCCUGGGCCGGGACCCUGCCAGGUCCUGCCGCCCUCAGCGGCCUCGGGAGGCAAGCCGUGCUGCCCCCGGGGCUGGCCAGCUCCUUUCCCCCUUUUCCCUCGUAUAUCUUUUUUGGGUGCAGCCAAGAUAAAAAUAUUUUACCAAGAACACCUGAUCAAAAUCAAUACAACCUCAAUGGAAGUGGCUACUUUGACAUUUGAGAUGAAGAUGACCAAUGGAUCCAGAUUUUCAUGGAAAAGGGAGAUGUGAUAAUGCUUCCUGCUGGCAUAUAUCACCAAUUUAUACCUGAUGAAAAUGUUUGUGUAUAACUUUAUAUCUUACAUUCCCAUAAAACUGUUUUACCAAACAAGUGUAAAAAAUUAUAUUCUAGAUUAGUGACUAAAUGUAUUAGGAUUUGCAGUUUAUCAUCAAACUAUAUUACAGCAGAAAUGUGAGGAAUACUAACUGAUGCACUGAAUCUGAUUCUUGGAUUUCUGUCAGCAAUCUAGAUCCAGCUCAUCAGCAGAUAGUCGAACAUGCCCAUGUCUACUGCAGGUGUCAAUGAGGAGCCCCAGACUCACUGUAAGGGGUGGAGCAUUUCAUUUUCUCUAAGAAUCUGUAUAAGAUGAAUUAGCAAAUCUGAACCUUUACAAGCAAUUUUCCUAGUCCUACCCUGAUGCUUAGACCUGUGACUUUGUAACAAUGCAUUGCAGUGAUUUGCUCUUGAAGAGAGUAUUAAUAAAGUGAUUUUUCUAAUUUGAA